GAUGAACGCUGGCGGCGUGCCUAAUACAUGCAAGUCGAGCGAACAGAUAAGGAGCUUGCUCCUUUGACGUUAGCGGCGGACGGGUGAGUAACACGUGGGUAACCUACCUAUAAGACUGGGAUAACUUCGGGAAACCGGAGCUAAUACCGGAUAACAUUUGGAACCGCAUGGUUCUAAAGUGAAAGAUGGUUUUGCUAUCACUUAUAGAUGGACCCGCGCCGUAUUAGCUAGUUGGUAAGGUAACGGCUUACCAAGGCGACGAUACGUAGCCGACCUGAGAGGGUGAUCGGCCACACUGGAACUGAGACACGGUCCAGACUCCUACGGGAGGCAGCAGUAGGGAAUCUUCCGCAAUGGGCGACAGCCUGACGGAGCAACGCCGCGUGAGUGAUGAAGGGUUUCGGCUCGUAAAACUCUGUUAUUAGGGAAGAACAAACGUGUAAGUAACUGUGCACGUCUUGACGGUACCUAAUCAGAAAGCCACGGCUAACUACGUG
rnacentral:rRNA from 1 species